GAUGAACGCUGACAGAAUGCUUAACACAUGCAAGUCUACUUGAAUUUGGGUUUUUUCACUUAGAUUUGGGUGGCGGACGGGUGAGUAACGCGUAAAGAACUUGCCUCACAGCUAGGGACAACAUUUGGAAACGAAUGCUAAUACCUGAUAUUAUGAUUAUAAGGCAUCUUAGAAUUAUGAAAGCUAUAUGCGCUGUGAGAGAGCUUUGCGUCCCAUUAGCUAGUUGGAGAGGUAACGGCUCACCAAGGCGAUGAUGGGUAGCCGGCCUGAGAGGGUGAACGGCCACAAGGGGACUGAGACACGGCCCUUACUCCUACGGGAGGCAGCAGUGGGGAAUAUUGGACAAUGGACCAAGAGUCUGAUCCAGCAAUUCUGUGUGCACGAUGACGUUUUUCGGAAUGUAAAGUGCUUUCAGUUGGGAAGAAAAAAAUGACGGUACCAACAGAAGAAAUGACGGCUAAAUACGU
rnacentral:rRNA from 1 species